GGUUUUCGGAUUGUAAAGCACUUUCAGCGGGGACGAUGAUGACGGUACCCGCAGAAGAAGCCCCGGCUAACUUCGUGCCAGCAGCCGCGGUAAUACGAAGGGGGCAAGCGUUGCUCGGAAUGACUGGGCGUAAAGGGCGCGUAGGCGGUUUUAACAGUCAGAUGUGAAAUUCCUGGGCUUAACCUGGGGGCUGCAUUUGAUACGUUGAGACUAGAGUGUGAGAGAGGGUUGUGGAAUUCCCAGUGUAGAGGUGAAAUUCGUAGAUAUUGGGAAGAACACCGGUGGCGAAGGCGGCAACCUGGCUCAUUACUGACGCUGAGGCGCGAAAGCGUGGGGAGCAAACGCGAUUAGACA
rnacentral:rRNA from 1 species